rnacentral:rRNA from 1 species
CGAACGCUGGCGGCGUGCUUAACACAUGCAAGUCUACGAGAACGAGGUAGCAAUAUCUUUAGUAAAGUGGCGCACGGGUGCGUAACACGUAAGCAAUCUACCUUUGGGUCUGGAAUAACUUCGAGAAAUCGAGGCUAAUACCGGAUAAUGCAGCGGCACCGCAUGGUGAUGUUGUUAAAGUUUAAGUAAUGCCUAUAGAUGAGCUUGCGUCUGAUUAGCUAGUUGGUAGGGUAAAGGCCUACCAAGGCAACGAUCAGUAGCUGGUCUGAGAGGAUGAUCAGCCACACUGGAACUGAGACACGGUCCAGACUCCUACGGGAGGCAGCAGUGAGGAAUAUUGGGCAAUGCCCGCAAGGGUGACCCAGCAACGCCGCGUGGAGGAUGAAGGCCGUAAGGUUGUAAACUCCUGUUAGAGGAGAAGAAUAGUACCGAUUGGAUCGGUAUUUGACUGUACCCUCAGAGAAAGCCCCGGCUAACUACGUG